rnacentral:rRNA from 1 species
AUGGCGGAGGCCGCAGGAGCGACUCCUCUCCUCACUGGCCUCCCGGACGAGAUCACCAUCUCGGAGAUCCUCGUCCGCCUGCCCCCCAAACCCCUCCUCCGCUGCCGCGCCGUCAGCCCCGCGUGGCGCCGCGCCACCUCCACCCGCGAUUUCCUCCUGUCCCACCACGCCCGCCAGUCCGCCCUGCCCCUCCUCUACAGCCACAACGACGUCGCCGACGGCGGCCAGUCCCUAGACGUCACGCUCUUCGACCAUCGUGCAGGAGUCGCCGCCGCCGACCAGUUCCAGCGCGUCGCGCGACUGAAGACGGCUCCCUUGGAAGGGGGGAUCGACGGGAGUUUCACUCCCCUCUUCUACCCGGUGGCUUCCUGCGACGGCCUCCUCCUCCUCUCCAUCGACUGUGACCUCUGCAUCUGCAACCCGGCAACUCGACAGUAUGCUCCCCUCGAGCAGCUCGAUGGCUUCAUGACCGUGGGGUUGUACCCUCACCCCCCUACCGGUCAGUACCGACUGUUGCUGUACCAUGAAACAGAUCAACGUGCCAUCUAUGUUUUCUCCAUUGGCUCCAACCAGCCGCCGAGGCGCAUAGGGCGCCCUGAUCCGUUGGCUGACCACGGACUUCUGUUCCGUGGUAGCCUCCAUUGGCACACCGGCAACCGGAUAAUGGUAUUCGACACCACCACUGAGUCGUUCCGGCAGAUCCGUUCCCCGGUUGCCCACGAGGAGGACUAUGGACGACUGUUUGAGAUGGGUGACAUGCUUGGCAUCUUCUUACUUAAUGAUGAAAAGACAACCGUUGAUAUUUGGGUGAUGCAGGACUACCAAGGCGAGGUCUGGGCUUUCAAGUGUCGGGUUGAAUUGCCGGUUGCCGAGAUCAGGGACCAGUCUCAAAAUUCUAGCCAUUAUGAGGAAGUGAUGGUUGUUAAUGGCGACGGCGAGUUGCUCGUGUUGGUCGGUUUUGAGGACUGGCUGUUUCAGGUUGAUAUUGAUGGCAAGUUGAUUGCCAGUUUCCAUGCCAGAGGCCUCCCUUCCUAUAAUAUUGUGCACAAGCAAACUCUUGUUCAACAUACCUUCUUUCCGACACUCGAGGGUUAUGUUAUCAACGAUUCGCCUUUCAUUUGA